rnacentral:rRNA from 1 species
CGUGCUUAACACAUGCAAGUCGAACGGACUGAGCCCCUUCGGGGGCGAAAGUUAGUGGCGAACGGGUGAGUAACGCGUGAGGAACCUGCCUUUCAGAGGGGGACAACAAGUUGGAAACGACUGCUAAUACCGCAUAACAUAUUACUUUCGCAUGAAAGGGAUAUCAAAGAUUAUAUCGCUGAAAAGAUGGCCUCGCGUCUGAUUAGAUAGUUGGUGGGGUAACGGCCCCACCAAGUCGACGAUCAGUAGCCGGACUGAGAGGUUGAACGGCCACAUUGGGACUGAGAUACGGCCCAGACUCCUACGGGAGGCAGCAGUGGGGAAUAUUGGGCAAUGGGGCCGCAAGCCUGACCCAGCAACGCCGCGUGAAGGAAGAAGGCUUUCGGGUUGUAAACUUCUUUUACCAGGGACGAAGGAUGUGACGGUACCUGGAAGAAAAAGCCACGGCUAACUACGUGCCAGCCGCAGC